UUUGGAGGGGUGGGAGGAAGGGGUGUGGUUAGAAGCCCACAGGUCCAGCCUGGGGAAUGGGGCACACAAAGCCUGGGAAAGGGCGCAGGAAGGGCUUGCGGAAACAACCCGCUUGGCGUCCACGCCAGGAUCCCUGACCCCCGGGCCCAGGUACAGCCUCAGCCGGAAGCGGCUCAGCAGUGGGGGUGGCCUCCUCGGGGAGGUCGUGGCUCCCUGCCCAGCACUGCUGUUGUGCCUUUGGACAGGAUGCUCCUCCAGUCAGUGGGUGACAGGACCGGCCUCCUCAUAGUCCGAGACUGCUCAAGGGUAGAGUCCACGAGGCUCAUCUCCGUGUCUGCCUGUCACACUGCAGGGGUAGAGCAAGUGGACUUUAGGGCCUUCCGCGGCCCCUCAGCUGUAGGCGGCACCAUCUUGGCAAAAUGAAGCCAUUGCGGCCUGCCUAGGUGCCCAAGCCAAAGAUCUCCAAGUCCUCUUGAAUUCUUCUUUCAUCCUCAAUAUCAUUUUUUUUCCAUCCUCAAUAUCAUAAUGGCUGGCCAGGGUACCCCGAGAUCAUCUGGGACCAGGAUAAGCAUCCUUCACUAGUGUCUAUCUGGAUGCUAUUUAACAAUGGCAAUAUUAAGGGUUUAAAAAAAUAGCAUUUGCAGGACCUGAAGCAUUUGCUUACACGACACGAGUUCCCAUCUUGGCUAGUUCCAAGCCGCCAGUGUGACAUCUUAGCCAAAGCCAGGAACAUGGCGCUUCUCUCCCCACAGGUGCAAACAGCCGCCUGGGACAUGACUCGGGAGUGGAGCUGGAGUUAAAGGGAGUCCCACCUAAAUUACUUCAAGUAAUUUAUUUAUUUAAAUGAUGUUUAUUAAUUCUGUGGGGAUGUGUAUACACAUGUGUCACACAUGAGUAUGGGGGAUCAGAGGGCAACUCGUGGGAGUCAGUUCCAUCCUCAACCAUGUAGGCUUUGGGGACCAAGCCCAGAUCCUGAGGCUCGGGAGCAAGCGCCUUUAAGGCGGAGUCAUCUCCCUGGCCCUGCGUAAUCAGUUCCACUAACUAAGUAAUGCACUUUUUUCCCUACUCGCUUAUUCUGGUUUGUUUUUUGGGGUUUUUGUUUGUUUGUUUUGUUUUUUUAGACAGGGCCUCAUCGCUCAGCACAGGUUAGCCUGGAACUCACAGGCUGUCCUCAGACUGUGACCAUCAUCUCAAUGUAUGAGCAUACCAGUUCUCUCACCACUCAGUAAACACCGGCGUUGCCUCAGUGAACAUGGAGAUGAGCACGUGUUGGCCCCACCCCAGUUCUUUGGGGACAGACUCAAGAAUAAUGUGACAAUUCUAUAUCGUUUAAUUUAAAACGACGACUCACACAUUUUAUUGUCCUGUAAACUUAUUUUAUGUGCAAGUGUGUAUGCCCGCAAGUAUGUCUGUGCACUGUGUGCCUGCAGGAGCCCACGGAGGUCAGAAGAGGGCAUCAGACCCCCUGGAACUGGAGUUCCGAACCCAGGUCCUCUGCAGAAGCAGCAAGAACUCUUAGCCACUGAGCCCUCUCUCCAGCUCCUGUAAUCUAUUGCCAACUCGAAAUCUCCUCCAGUUCAUAUAUGACUUUGUAUCUAAUUUUACACUGUGCCGCCCCGCCCUCUCCCAUGCUCCCCCAGGCUCCUGACUGGCACCACUUUGACGUGCCCUCCCCUCCUCCAGGCUCCCAUUGCCACCCAAGCUUAGACUGGAUGCCUCACGUGCACUGUACGAGAACCCCUCACCACAUCCGCCAGCAGACCUGGCCUCGUCCACUCUCUAAGUCCACUGGCCUCCCCUCCGUUCUCACGCUGCCUCCUGUGCCAGGAGGCCUACAACAGUCACCUCCUCCACAUGGACGGACGUCUCCCCGCAACUCUUCCCUGCGGUGUCUGUCAUUUCAGUCUUUGACCACAGAAUGGCCAUCUGCAGUCUCCACCCACCCACCCAGACCUCAGACACAGUUGCUCCCUCACCUCCAGACACACCACCAGGACUCCCUGGUUGGGGCUCAGUCCCACCGAGUUACAAUGCCCAGUUUUCUUUGCUGGAUGACAGCAAUCUCCUGGACUCCUGAUGGAGGAACUGGUCCACACGGGCACUAAGGACAAGGGACACUUAUGCAGACUUCGCACACCACACUCAACUGCCCUGGUCUAGAAGAAGCAGGACCACAGCCAGAGUGCUGCUUGAACCUGGACCACGCUGGGGCCCUUUCUGCCGGGGCAGUCUCCAAGCUUGGACCACCGAGUCUCCUGCAGGCUGCAACUCUGAAUCUCUCCGUGAGGCAGCCCCAAGGAGGUGCCAAGUCAGUCUGGGAAGCCUAAGGGAAGGAGGGUCUUCGCUGCUGAGGGGCUGGCAUCCCAACUGCCGGUGUCCAUGAGGAAACGGCCUGGGCCCUGGAGUCUGCACCACACAGCCUCGAAGACCUCCUGAGAGCAGGGGGUGGACAUGGUGGCUCUCCCAGACACAUCUGGACUCGGUUUCUACCUUGCCCAGUGUCAAAAUGAGAGCGCUCCAGCCGGGCACCACCAGGUGUGAGCACCCCUACCCACCAGAAACAGCGGCCUCGGAGUAGCAGAGAGCCCAAAGCGACAAACACACGUGUGCCCGAAUGCAGUAAGGGAUGACAUACAGAUCAUGAGAGAGGUAGGCAAGGUCAGACGGGAGCUUGGCAGGAAGGAGACAGGCGCUUCGGGGAGGACGCAUGCCCCAGCAUGAGGCGGGUGCUAAGGUCUGAGCCUGGCAUCAGACCCCAUCCAUGAGGCACUGGGGUCUUCCCACACUGCCACUGACUGACCCAGACGCCCAGGCAAGGACACCUAGCUUGAAGGGGUCGGUGACAGCACGCUUUUGGACGUGGUUGUUUUUGGAUCCGCAGCAGAUGGCUGACCCUUUCUGAGCCAGGUAAGGAGAUUUGCCAAGGAUGGUGGGCGGGGUCUGGUGGAUUGAAACCGGGUCCUAACACCAUGUGUGUUCUCUGACUGCAGAAGUUGGCCUGGUGGGCAUAUGGAGUGAGCAGCAGUGGGAAGUUUGGCAGGGACUCCAGAAGGGAACAGGAACACAAGCUAGCGCAGGAUGCAUGGCCAGGCACAUCUGCCAUCCCAGCUCUCAGAAGGCAGAGGCAGGAGGAUGGCUGCCAGUCUGAGGCUUCAUGGACUCUAAGGACAGAGAUCUCUGCUUCCUCCCUGCCUGAUCCAGAUGACUCUCUUCAGGCGGUGUGAGCCAGCUCACUGUCCCGCCCUGCGCUCAGAGCGUAACAUGCAUACAUGUCAGGGGAUGCAUCAGCUCCUUCCCGGACAUACGGGAGAAGGCCCCCAGCCCACCUUGGCACCCGGUUGACUUCCGGUAUAUCUGACUGGCCUGUCUGGAGGGGCCACCAUCCAGGAGCCCACAAGACAGGAAGCCAUCCUGGCCUCAGCCCCUACUUACAGAACCAGCAUGGAGCC